rnacentral:rRNA from 1 species
UACGUAGGGGGUAAGCGUUAUCCGGAUUUAUUGGGCGUAAAGGGUCCGCAGGGGGUUGAUUAAGUUUGACGUGAAAUCCCGGAGCUUAACUCCGGAACUGCGUUGAAGACUGGUUGACUAGAGUGCUGGAGAGGUAAUUGGAAUUCCAGGUGUAGCGGUGGAAUGCGUUGAUAUCUGGAAGAACAUCGAGAGCGAAGGCAGAUUACUGGACAGCAACUGACCCUCAGGGACGAAAGCAUGGGGAGCAAAC